AUUGAACGCUGGCGGCAUGCCUUACACAUGCGAGUCGAACGGCAGCACGGGUGCUUGCACCUGGUGGCGAGUGGCGAACGGGUGAGUAAUACAUCGGAACAUGUCCUGUAGUGGGGGAUAGCCCGGCGAAAGCCGGAUUAAUACCGCAUACGAUCUACGGAUGAAAGCGGGGGACCUUCGGGCCUCGCGCUAUAGGGUUGGCCGAUGGCUGAUUAGCUAGUUGGUGGGGUAAAGGCCUACCAAGGCGACGAUCAGUAGCUGGUCUGAGAGGACGACCAGCCACACUGGGACUGAGACACGGCCCAGACUCCUACGGGAGGCAGCAGUGGGGAAUUUUGGGCAAUGGGCGAAAGCCUGAUCCAGCAAUGCCGCGUGUGUGAAGAAGGCCUUCGGGUUGUAAAGCACUUUUGUCCGGAAAGAAAUCCUUGGCCCUAAUACGGUCGGGGGAUGACGGUACCGGAAGAAUAAGCACCGGCUAACUACGUG
rnacentral:rRNA from 1 species